rnacentral:lncRNA from 10 species
CUCCAUUCAGAGCAAGUCCCCUUGUUAUCAAUGUCAGCUGGGCCUGAGUCAGGGUUUAGUGCAAGAUUGGAUGACAUGUAUCCUGGCUUCCAAAGGAAAAUGGCUGAGCUGUACUGUGCUUUCAGUGUUUCUGUUCCAUUCUUCCGGGAACAGAAUUUAUCUCACCAGGAGAGAAGUUGUGAAGUCUCUUUAAGGCUGUAUUUCCUGCUGGGUUGUUAAACACAGUGGGGACACCCAACUUGGAGGGUUCUGGUAUUUUUGUUUACAGUUCUUACUCUGCUUUUAACCCAACAAAUAUGAACCAAUAAAUAUCAACCUCUUAUUUCACUGGUAAAAUAAGAGGGUUAAACUAGGUGAUAUACAGAGUUCCUAAUUCCAGCUUUAGAAAAAGAGAAAAAAAGACACUAUAGGGUUCUAAGUUUCAACCACUGUUUCUUACAAAAGUACUUCUAGAACAUCUACCAAGCUAGCACUAGAUGUAAGUUGUUCAAAUAGUAGCCAAAAUCCAUGCUCUCAUAGACCUUGUAAACUAGGCUUUAUUUCCUUAGAUUUGCUACUGUUAUGAAAGUGGUGCUACCAUUUAUUUGUAGUAAAAUGCCUUAUUUGUCGCACUUUAAUUUCUAUGUCCAGAAGGUAGUCAUCAAGGCAAAACUUUCCUUCCCCUAUUAUUCCAUUUCCCAUCCCUUUAAAUUCCAGAAUGAUAUACUUCUUAAUGUAUGUUUCCCAUCUCCUUUACCAAAUAAAAAGGCAGCUCAUCUCCCCUUGACUAAAUAGGGGAAUGGUUUCUAAGUAGAAAAUGGAAGAACAUCUGGCAGAUAGAGGCUGGUACAAGACUCCAAUACUGAGCUCAUAAUUUUCUCUCUCCUACCCUUCAAUUCAUUUUGUUUCCCAAGAUCUGAAACAUUUUUCAGAACUGUGGUAUAUUCCUGUAGUUUUAAAGGCCAGAUACAUUCCCUCAAUUAUACCAAUAUUCAGAAAUUCUAUUCUGGGGCCAUAACUGCUCAAUUCUGCAUGAAGAUACACAUUUAAAUUUAAAUGCAGCCAGAGACUCUGCAAAAGCAAAUGACUGAAUGAAAGAAGCCUAAAGAUUUUACCAGAAAGUGCUUAGGAGGGGAAUUCUGCUUCUGGCUACAGUGGACUAGUUUGUUUCAGACCAACAGUUCCAUGGAGAACAACUAGAAAGUUCUAUCAAUUAAAUCCAUGCUAAAAACAGUAAUCCGGCCAGGCGCGGUGGCUCAUGCCUGUAAUCCCAGCACUUUUGGGGAGGCCUAGGCAGGCAGAUCACAAGGUCAGGAGUUUGAGACCAGUCUGGC